rnacentral:lncRNA from 1 species
GACUUGCACUUUCCUAAGAGGACGUGGCAAAACCACCUUUUGAGAAUGUUUCUAAAGGACUUUGUAAGUGCUGAAUCAUCAAAGAUCUGUCUGGGAGAGUGCUACUUGGCCUGAGCCCCAAACAUGCCAGAGACUAUUCUCACAGCUCAGUGGAACAGGCUUGCAGGUUCCGGUGGCAGGCACAAGAGGCAAGUACAUUAAAUUAAUUGAACUCUUCAAACAGAUUGGAUUCAAAUGUCCAUACUGCAUUUUGAGUAUUUUGCAACUGCACUUCUCUGCUGGUGUUACAGCAAGGUAGAAAAAAAUAAAGCUAGUAACUGUUAGGUGAUGCCAGUACAAGAAGGACAAGAUAU